rnacentral:rRNA from 1 species
CCUACGGGUGGCAGCAGUGAGGAAUAUUGGUCAAUGGGCGUAAGCCUGAACCAGCCAAGUCGCGUGAGGGAUGAAGGUCCUAUGGAUCGUAAACCUCUUUUAUAAGGGAGUAAAGUCCGGGACGUGUCUCGUUUCGUAUGUACCUUAUGAAAAAGGAACGGCUAACCCCGUGCCAGCAGCCGCGGUUAGACGGAGGGUCGGAGGGUUAUCCGGAUUUAUUGGGUUUAAAGGGUGCGUAGGCGGGCUUUUAAGUCAGCGGUGAAAGUCUGUGGCUCAACCAUAGAAUUGCCGUUGAAACUGGGAGGCUUGAGUAUGUUAGAGGCAUGCGGAAUGCGUGGUGUAGCGGUGAAAUGCUUAGAUAUCACGCAGAACCCCGAUUGCGAAGGCAGCCUGCCGGGCCAUAACUGACGCUGAUGCACGAAAGCGUGGGGAUCAAACAGGAUUAGAUACCCCUGUAGUC